rnacentral:rRNA from 1 species
GACAGAGGGUGCAAACGUUGUUCGGAAUUACUGGGCGUAAAGCGCGUGUAGGCGGCUAAGUGUGUCGGGCGUGAAAUCCCACGGCUCAACCGUGGAAGUGCACCCGAAACUACGUAGCUAGAGUCCUGGAGAGGAAGGUGGAAUGCUUGGUGUAGAGGUGAAAUUCGUAGAUAUCAAGCGGAACACCGGUGGCGAAGGCGGCCAACUGGGAUACACCUGACGCUGAGGCACGAAGGCGUGGGGAGCGAACGGG